GGGGGUGUAGCUCAGUGGUAGAGCGUUCGCUUUGCAUGCGAGAGGUACUGGGAUCGAUACCCUGCAUCUCCA